UACGUAGGCAGCGAGCGUUGUUCGGAAUUACUGGGCGUAAAGAGUGUGUAGGCGGUGUUCCCAGUCUGUUGUGAAAUCUCCCGGCUUAACUGAGAGGGUGCAGCGGAAACUAGAAUGCUAGAGGGUGGGAGAGGUAAGCGGAAUUCCUGGUGUAGCGGUGAAAUGCGUAGAUAUCAGGAGGAACACCUGUGGUGUAGACAGCUUACUGGACCACUUCUGACGCUGAGACACGAAAGCGUGGGUAGCAAACAGG
rnacentral:rRNA from 1 species